GGUUCCGUGGUGUAGGGGUUAACAUGCCUGCCUGUCACGCAGGAGAUCGCGGGUUCAAAUCCCGUUGGGACCGCCA
rnacentral:tRNA from 1 species